rnacentral:rRNA from 1 species
AUUGAACGCUGGCGGCAUGCUUUACACAUGCAAGUCGAACGGUAACAGGUUAAGCUGACGAGUGGCGAACGGGUGAGUAAUGCAUCGGAACGUGCCCGGUCGUGGGGGAUAACGCAGCGAAAGCUGCGCUAAUACCGCAUACGAUCUGAGGAUGAAAGCGGGGGACCGUAAGGCCUCGCGCGAUCGGAGCGGCCGAUGUCAGAUUAGGUAGUUGGUGGGGUAAAGGCUCACCAAGCCAACGAUCUGCAGCUGGUCUGAGAGGACGACCAGCCACACUGGGACUGAGACACGGCCCAGACUCCUACGGGAGGCAGCAGUGGGGAAUUUUGGACAAUGGGCGAAAGCCUGAUCCAGCAAUGCCGCGUGCAGGAAGAAGGCCUUCGGGUUGUAAACUGCUUUUGUACGGGGCGAAAAGGUCUCCUCUAAUACAGGGGGCUCAUGACGGUACCGUAAGAAUAAGCACCGGCUAACUACGUGCCAGCAGCCGCCGUAA